AUUGAACGCUGGCGGCAGGCCUAACACAUGCAAGUCGAACGAGUGGCGGACGGGUGAGUAAUGUCUGGGAAACUGCCUGAUGGAGGGGGAUAACUACUGGAAACGGUAGCUAAUAACGCAUACCAUCAGAUGUGCCCAGAUGGGAUUAGCUUGUGGGUGGGGUAAGGGCUCACCAAUGCCAAGAUCCCUAGCUGGUCUGAGAGGGUGACCAGCCACCCUGGAACUGAGACACGGUCCAGACUCCAACGGGCGGCAGCAGUGGGGAAGAUUGCACAAUUGGCUCAAGCCUGAUGCAGCCAUGCCGCGUGUAUGAAGAAGGCCUUCGGGUUGUAAAGUACUUUCAGCGGGGAGGCGUUACCCGCAGAAGAAGCACCGGCUAACUCCGUGCCAGCAGCCGCGGUAAUUC
rnacentral:rRNA from 1 species